AGGGAGUUAGCUCAAACGGUUAGGGCAUGCUGGCGGAAAAGAUGCAGGUUCGAUUCCUGUACUCCCAA
rnacentral:tRNA from 1 species